GGCUUUGUUCAGAAAAGUUAAAAACCAGUGGGCCAACAAUGUGAUCUCUCUCCUCUCUGUGGGCCAGUCAGCCAAAGACCAAGGAUGUGAACGGCCAGUGUCCGUAUGAAAGACAGACAACUGGGCCAAUCAUGCGAUCUUUCUUCUCUCUAUGGGCAGA